rnacentral:rRNA from 1 species
AUGAGCUCCUCGUCUCCACGGACGGCCAUGGCGCGGCCUUCCAAGAAGAAGAAGAAGCGCCUGAAGGGGAGCCCGGUGUCCAAGCUCACCGACGACAUCCUCGCCGAUAUCAUCUCGCGCGUGCCGUACAAGUCGACAUGUUGCAAGUGCGUCUCCAAGCGUUGGCGCGACCUCAUCUCCUACCAGUACCGGAACAAGAUGCCGCAGUCCAUCGUCGGCUUCUUCUACGAAGAGGCCUAUCGUCGCAACAAUAGACAAAGAAAAGGGGAAGGCGAAUGGGAAGGAGAAGGAGAAAGAGAGGACCUUGGAAUCCAUUAUGAAGAAAUGGUGAGCGUCGCUCGCCUAGGAUUCGACCCAGCCGUUUCUUCCGAUUUCCGUGUAUUUGAGUUCAUUGAUGAGGAGUCAUGGGGUAUAGCUGAGGAUGAGCUUGAUGGGGAUUGCUGUGGACGCAUCGAAACACUAGCAAUAUACUCAUCCGAAGCUGGAGCUUGGAAAUACGAAACAGUUGAUAUUGGUCCAUUUGCGAUACCCAAGAAUUCACUUCACAAUUCUCCCAUCUUUCUGAUGAUAUUGGAGUUUGGUAUUGAAUUCGGGCAGCAGUGA